rnacentral:lncRNA from 1 species
AAGACCACCAAAGAUGAAAUAUAUAUGUAUUUUUUCUUUUUAAAGUAAUGAUUUUUCCUUUUCCAAUUUUCUGUUCUUGUUCUUUCUCCUUUCUUUUUCUUUUUCCCCUCCUUAAUGAAAUAAGAGUGGGGGUUUAAAUAGGUGUUGAGCAUUAAACCCCCCACUCUUCUUGAAAACUUAAGAGCCAAUGCAUGCAUUGGACUCUUUGUUUUCCCAAGGUGCCACCCAAGAUGACCAAUGGUAAUUCCUUUUUUUUUUUUUCUAAGAUAAAAUUAAUUAAAAGACUAUAUUGCCCUUUAGAUGACCCAUUUCUUUUAUUCAUUAAUUAAAUAAUAGCUAAAUGGGUCAUCUGAAAAUUUAGAAUAGGCCCAAUAUGUCAUUUUAGAUGACCUAUUUCUUUUAUUCAUUAAUUGAAUAAUAGCUAAAUGGGCCAUCUGAAAAUUUUAAAAUAGGCCGAAAAUUGAUCAAGACCCAAAAAUCAAAACAAAAUAAGUCCACAAACACAAAAUCUAAACAUCUAAACUAUUUUAAAGAUCAAACACAACAAAUAGGGCUGAAAAAUAAAAAAAAGAAAUAAAAAACGAAAUUAAAAAAAAAAAACUCAAGUAACAACUUAAACAUGAACUUGAAGAACACUAACAAAACAAUAUAAAUCCGGCAUCAAAACAACUUAUAUGAUUCAAAAAAUGUGAUAAUGACGGAUUUGGAUAGAGGAUGAGAGGGGGAAAUGGUUGACAUAAAUUUUCAGACGAUUGGAGGUCGCCGAAAAAUUCUGCCGAAUUUUUUUUGACGGAUUUUGGACAUAAACUUUACAUGAAAGGAUAGCCCUUGAAGAGCUCUACACUUUUAUGUAAAUGAUAUAGGACGGGGAUGACCGAAACUUCAUAAAUCUAAAGAAAAAGGUGGAGAUUUAUGUUUGAUUUUCUUAGAAUCUACGGAGUUUGGCUAUGAAUAUGAACGAAUGGUUUGCGAAUUUGUGUAGAGGAGGAUGAAAGGAAGAAGUGGUAAAAAUUUAAAGAUUUUUUCCGGCCAAGGGGUGGUGGCCGGCGGCGGCGGCGGCGGCCGGCCGGCGGCAAGUGGAAGCAAGGGGGAGAAGAACAAAAAAAAUAAAAAAUGGCAAUAAAAAUUUGAUUUUGGGAUUUUGUAUUUUUGGUAGGGUCCCAUAAGAACCCUUGGAUCAAAAAAUCAUGGAUGGUUGAGAUUUAAUCUUGACCAUUUCUAUUGGACCGGGUCAAAAUUGAUUGGGCCAUCAGAAUUUGGUCUAAAUCAACCCAAUUCAAUCAAAAAUUGGGUCAUUUGGGCCAAUUAAAAAAAAUAAUGUAAACAAAAACAAACUACCCAAAAUACAAAACAAAAAUAUAAGACCCUAAUAUAUAUUGUAGGAGUAGAUUAAACACGUCAAAAAUUAGGUGUUCACAGCAUGCCCCUCUUUGCUUGGAAACAUAAAGAGUUUUCAAGUGAAGAAAGUGAACGAAGUGGCUAAUUUUUUACUGUGCAAACUCCGUUGAAACCUUUUUGAAAAAGAUGACCGAACCUUGCUUUACAGGUUGCCUACAUAUCCUUGAUUAAAAGGAAAUCAGGUCAGUGUAGUUCGAAAAACUUUGAUAGCUGAAACUAUCAGAAAAUGCGGUCAAAAGAUUGCUUCACAUUGCUUGUCAUCAUCUACUGUCUAUAAUUACAAAUAAAAGAGCUAGAGAACUAUGCCUCUCUACAUUAUAAGAGUUACAAGAUCCCUACUUGAUUUUUUUCCUUAGGGUCUCGUCUUGAUCUUUGAUUUGCUCUGUGCGUUAUCUUUGAUAUUGAUCUUCAUGCUCUCUCGGCGGCUUGCAGAUCAUUCUGAGGUGCAUGUUUUAACUUGAGUUGGCGGUUGAAACUCGAAACUCAAGAUCACAAAAUGAAGAACCCAAAAAGGAUGUGUUUCUGUUAGGGAAGGAAAAAAAAUGAAAAAUCUUAAACUAGGACGUAUAACCCUAGAAAGAAAAGGAGAAGCGGGGUGUGUUGCCCUGAGAGUUUCAAAUAAGACGUAUUGUCUUUGUGGAUUGUCUAAGAUUGGAUAUAUCCCCAAAAAUAUGAUUAUGGUGUGUAUAACCCAUGAAUGCUGGUGUGUAUUGCCCAGGAUAUGCAUAUGGUGCGUAUUGCCCAUGAAUAGAAAAUUGAUGCGUAUUGCAUGUGAAUAAGGACUGGUGCGUAUUGCACAUGAAAGAAGACUAGUGUGUUUUGCACAUGAACGCAAUAUCGAUGUGUAUUGCAUGUGAUUUCGAUUGGUACGUCUUGCUUAUGAAAGAAAAACUGGUACGUUUCACACUUGAAUAAAGGACGAGUGCGUAUUUGCACGGAAUUCAGAUUGGUGCGUAUUGCACGAAAUUCAGAUUGGUGCGUAUUGCACAUGAAUAAAGGAUGGUGCGUAUUGCGCAUAAAUAAAGGACGUGUGCGUAAUGCACGGAAUUUAGAGUGGUGCGUAUUGCCCGAAACUCUCGAAUUGAGUGGCAAGAAUGCGAAUAGCAUGAGAGGAAACAACAAACAUGUGAAGACUUAGGAGAACUUCCUUUUUGUGAUGUUUCAUUUUUGACUUGUAAUCCCGCAUUUUCUUUUGUUCUUGUGUUGAGCAAAAGAAAGAGAAAAUUGUUAGUUUGUGGCCUUGAUGCUCCGAUGACUUGACCAUACUUCUGACCAAUUUCUCCAGCUCUACUCAAAAUUCUUGGUUGAACAACCUUUGAAGCUUCCUCUUUGUUGAUUCAGGGGCGUUGAUCUUUUUGGUACUACCAAAUAUCAUGGUGCGACUGAUGUCCCAAAGGAUAAAUUUUCCUGUUGAAUAUUUUUUCAUGGCUUAAGAGACUAUAUCGUGUUCCUUCACGAGUUUUCAGUGAAGAUUUGAGGCAUUUUUAGUCCUUGCUCGAGGCAUGUCAACUCGGAUACUCAGCUUUACUUUUGGGAACCCGUAGUAAGUUUUGCAAUCUUUUACCUUAUUUGUCAAGAGAUUAUACCGAAAAGACUAGAGAAAUAUCAGGUUUAAGAGUGAAAAAAAAAAUUGGAUCAAGAAAGACUAUAAACUUAAGGAAGGGCAUUCCUUUUGAAGAAAAAUGAGAAAGAAAACUUAUCUGGAGGCAUAUGUCGACUUUGAGUGAACCAUGACAUGCACUUUGGACGUGACCCCGGAUCCACUUGAGUUGUCUAAUUCUCAAAAUCUGAACUAUUAUCAAUUUAUAACUGAUCUAUGGAUUCUUCAUGUAGAGGUAUCGAGAAAUGGUGUUCUUUACAGAUUUCUCCCAACUAGUCAUUUUCAUGAUGUUCUCUUCUUUUAUCUUAAGGUGCCCUGCAAGAGUUUUCACCGAUAAGAUUUCUCUAUUGUCGUCUUAUGGUGCCUAUAAAGGUUUUCACCGAUAAGACUUUCUCUUUUCUCUUUUUUUUUUUUUUUCGACUCGACAAAGUUGUCCUUGAUGACGAAUUGUCCAUGCAAGACACAUCGAAUUUAUCAUUCUCAGAGUUGAUAAAAAAUGUUGGUUGCUAGAAUAAAAUCAAAAAUGAAAUCAAUUUGACUCUAUUCUAUCAAAAAAGAAAAAAAAAGAAAAAAUAAAAAUGCCCUAGUUUUCUAUAGAUACUGGAAUAUUGAUUAUUAUUAUUAUUAUUAUUUUUUAUUUUUUUGGUAUGACCGAACCCCAAAGGGUUGCCUACGUAUCCUUUCGGAAUCAGGUCAAACGUAGUUCAAAAUAUUUCAAAGAGAGGUUUUUUUUUUUUCUUUUUUGGUUUUUUUUUUUCUUUUUUUUUUAAGAGAUGCCUUUGUUCUCUCAACCACAAACUUGUCAUAGUAUCUUAGAACGUAUUAGAUGUAGUAUCUUUUGACUGCGUCCGCAUUAACAAUUAUGCUUGUGAUUUUUCCCUCCACAUCAGUAAGGUGUAAGGUUCCUUUGGACAACACUUCCUUGAUAAGAUAUGGACCUUGCCAAUUUGGGGCAAACUUUCCCUUGGCCUCUUCUUGGUGCGGGAGAAUGCGCUUUAAGACCAGUUGACCUACUUCAAAGUGUCUUGGGUGCACCUUUUUGUUGUAUGCACGAGCCAUCCUUUGCUGAUAAAGCUGACCAAAACAGACGGCCGUCAAUCGCUUCUCAUCUAUUAAUGUGAGCUGCUCUAAUCAGGUUUAGACCCAUUCAGUAUCUUCAAUUUCAGCCUUGACAAUAAUUCAAAAAGAUGGAAUUUCAACUUCCGCUGGUAUCACAGCCUCAAUCCCAUACACCAGUAAAUAAGGAGUUGCACUAAUCGAGGUGCGCACUGUUGUGCGAUAUCCUAAAGGUGCAAAAGGCAGCUUCUCAUGCCAUUGUCUAGUGCCUUGAACCAUUUUCCUGAGAAUCUUUUUGAUAUUCUUGUUGGCUGCCUCCACAGCUCCGUUGGCCUUUGGUCGGUAUGGAGUAGAAUUGUGAUGCGCAAUUUUGAACUGCUCAUAUACCUCCUUCAUCAAAUUGCUAUUAAGGUUUGCAGCAUUAUCUGUGAUGAUAGUUCUUGGGAUACCAAAACGACAAAUGAUGUUUGAAUGGACAAAAUCCACGACCGCCUUCUUAGUGACUGCCUUGAAAGUGAUUGCCUCUACCCAUUUAGUAAAGUAAUCAAUUGCGACCAAAAUGAAUCGAUGUCCAUUAGAAGCUUUUGGCUCAAUUGGUCCGAUGACAUCCAUUCCCCAUGCAACAAAGAGCCAAGGAGCGGCCAUGGGGUGCAACUCUGAAGGAGGUGAAUGAAUGAGAUCACCAUUAAUUUGACAUUGAUGACAGUUUUUCACAAAGCGAAAGCAAUCCCGUUCCAUGGUAAGCCAGUAAUAUCCUGCUCGGAGUAUCUUUUUCGCAAGGACAUAUCCAUUCAUGUAUGGUCCACAUACCCCAGCAUGUAUUUCAUUCAUGAUCUUCUCAGCUUCUUCAGCAUCCACACAUCUCANNNNNNNNNNNNNNNNNNNNNNNNNNNNNNNNNNNNNNNNNNNNNNNNNNNNNNNNNNNNNNNNNNNNNNNNNNNNNNNNNNNNNNAAAAAGAAACCACUAGCCAGACGUCUAAUAGUUCUUUUUUGGCUUCUAUUGGCAUGUUCGGGACAUUUCCCUGUUUGCAAGAAAUUCCUAAUGUUUAGGUACCACGGCUCACCGUCUGAUUCUGCUUCCACAGUGUUACAAUAGCCAUGCUGGUCCCGAAGUUGAAUCUCCAAGGGAGUAAUACAAGUGUUUCCAGGAUAUGGAAGCAUUGAGGCCAAGUAGCCAAGGCAUCUGCCAAUUCAUUAUGAAUCUGGGGAUGUAUCUAAACUCGAUGGACCUAAACCUUUUGCUAAGAUCCUCCACACAUUGUUUGUAGGGAAGAAGCUUGAGGUCUCGAGUUUUCCAUUCGCCUUGAGCUUGCCUAAUAAGCAAAUCAGAAUUUCCCAACACAAUCAAUUCUUGCACACCCAAAUCUAUUGCCAUAUUUAGACCCAUGAUGCAAGCUUCAUACUCUGUUGUGUUAUUUGUACAGAAGAAACAAAGUCGAGCUGUUGCAGGGUAAUGUUGUCCCGUGGGCGAUAUGAGAAUUGCCCCAAUCCCUGUGCCCUUUUUGUUGAUUGCUCCAUCAAAGUAUAAUUGCCAGGCCUGGUUUUCAUCUGGAUCUACUUCUUCAACUGAGUUAAUCUCUUCAUCUGGAAAAUAUGUAUCCAGUGGUUCGUAGUCGCCAUCGACUGGAUUCUCUGCCAAGUGAUCUGCCAGAGCUUGAGCUUUCAUUGCAGUUCGAGUGAUAUAUAUAAUGUCAAAUUCAGUGAGCAAGAUUUGCCAUUUCGCGAGUUUGCCAGUUGGCAUUGGCUUCUGAAAGAUGUACUUCAAAGGAUCCAUCCUAGAUAUGAGGUAAGUUGUGUAGGACAAAAGGUAAUGCCUUAACUUUUGAGCUACCCAAGUUAGGGCGCAACAUGUCCUUUCCAAGAGGGUGUACUUGACCUCGUAACUAGUGAAUUUCUUGCUCAAGUAGUAGAUAGCUUGCUCCUUCCUGCCUGUGGAAUCGUGUUGACCAAGAACGCACCCAAAGGAAUUAUCUGUCACUGAAAGAUAUAGAAAGAGAGGCCUAUCAAGUUCAGGCGGGACCAAUACGGGAGGUUUGGACAAAUAUUCCUUGAUUUUUCAAAAGCUUGUUGACAAUCAUCCGUCCAUCUGACAGCAACAUCCUUUUUCAAAAGUCUGAAAAUGGACUCACAAGUGAUUGUGAGUUGAGCAAUAAACCUGCUAAUGUAGUUCAACCUCCCAAGAAGACUCAUGACUUCGGUCUUAUUUUUUGGGGGUGGCAAAUCUCGAAUGACUUUUAUUUGGAAGGAUCCAAUUCGAUUCCCCUUGUACUGACAAUAAAACCCAGAAGUUUUCCAGAUGGAACUCCAAAUGCACAGUUUGCUGGAUUAAGCUUGAGAUCAUAUCUUCGCACUCUUUCGAAGAAUUUUCUCAGAUCUUGCACAUGGUCAGCUUGUGUUUUAGACUUGAUAAUUACGUCAUCGACGUAUACUUCGAUUUCUUUAUGCAUCAUAUCAUGAAACAUUGUGGUCAUAGCCCUCAUGUAAGUUGCCCCAGCAUUUUUAAGACCGAAUGGCAUGACCCUAUAGCAAUAAGUCCCCCAUGGAGUGGUGAAAGCAGUUUUCUCAGCGUCCUCUUCGUCCAUCAAGAUUUGAUGAUACCCCGCAUAGCAGUCCACAAAUGAUUGAAUUUCGUGUCUGACACAAUUAUCCACUAGAAUGUGGAUAUUAGGCAAGGGAAAAUUGUCUUUUGGACUAGCUUUGUUCAAAUCUCGAUAGUCAACACAAACUCUUGUCUUUCCAUCCUUUUUCGGCACAGGAACAACAUUUGCCAACCAAAUUGUGUAACGAAUGGUUUGGAUCACAUUUGCAUUUAGUUGUUUCAUGAUUUCUUUCUUGAUUUUUUCACUCACGUCCGGUUUGAAUUUUCUUUUUUUUGUUGGACGGGUGGAAAAUCAGGAUGAGUGGGCAACUUAUGGACUACUAGAUCAACACUCAAACCUGGCAUGUCAUCAUAGGACCAAGGAAACACAUCUUUGUAUUCAAACAAAAGUUGUAUUAUGGCAUCCCUAAUUUCCUUCUUGACAAGAAGACUUAUUUUUAUUUCUUUGACUUCCUCAUUACUUCCCAAAUUGAUGGCCUCAGUUUCACUAAGAUUAGGCUUAGGUUUGUGCUCAAACUGUUCCAAUUCCCUAUUAAUUUCCCUAAAAGCCUCUUCUUCAUCAUAUUCAACCUCUCGACUCGGGGAUUCAAGAAAUAACAACUCUUUAAGAUCUGGGAGUGAAUUCCACAUGCAUGUCAUGUUAUCAAAGCCGGCAUUUACAGAACUGAAAAAAUGGAGAAUAAGAAUCAGGGGAGGGAAAAGAAAAAGUUUUACUAUGAAACUGGAAUUUCAUUUCAUUGGAAUUAAAAAAAAAGAUAGAAGGGUUGACAUUAAUAUAAAAUACUUUCAAACUUUCGGAUCACAACCCUGACAAAAACAAAAUACAAAGAGUAGCAAAACAAACUACCAAGACUCCUUCCUUAUGGGGAAAGGAGUGGCUUCCCAAUUGCUUAGCUCAACACCUGAGCCCACGAGCUGCACAUCGGCAUGACUUGUACCUUCACCAACUUGAACCAUGUUUACUUCACAAAACAACUGACUGAGAUCCUGAAUAACUUCUUCAAUGUCUUCAUGAGUAAAAGAAGCUUCCAUUUCUGGACCCUGAGACUUGAUAAAGGAUGAUAAAUAUGGGGAAUCGGUUGUGGCAACGCCCAAUCAGUCCCUUUGUGGUUAUUACUCUCAUCUUCAUUUCUCUUGCUUUGUUUGUAUCCGAGGCCAGAGGUGCUUUGGUUCCCAAAAAGAGUAAUGGGAUCCACAAUUCCUUGAGAACAUAGUCCCAAACCUUUACUAGGCUGAUAACCAUAUUUGAGCAUGGUCGUUGCUACCAUUGAAGAGGAAGAAGAGAGACAUGGUUGGAUAAUGGGGUCUCCUUCUCUAAAGCGAUUGACUGAUACGGCCUCAAAAGACUGGUAAACAAUGGAAUCACAUCCUUCUUUUGCCUCAAUGUAUGGAAUGGAGGGAUCUCUGUAAAUAGGUAAAUCAUCUUCCCCAUGCACAAUGAUUUCCUGAUUGUUGUGUUCAAACUUAACAACUUGAUGCAGAGUUGAUGGGUCUGCCCGAGCCUCUGUCAAGGCUAAUUUUCAAGUUUUGCAGCGUAGAGAGAGGACAUAUGUCUACCCCGGAUCCCCCAUCUAUCAUGACCCUCUUUACAUAGUACCCUUCAUAUUUCACUGUAAGAAGCAAUGCUCUGUUGUGUCCAGCUCCCUCUGUGGGCAACUCAUCAUCAGUGAAAGUGAUGGUGUUUGACUCAAAGAUGCGCUUGGCCAUUUUCUCUAACUGAUUUACCGUGGUCUCCUUCGAUACAUGUGCUUCAUUCAAAAUCUUAUUCAACACACGACGAUGUUCUUCUGAGUGCAGGAGUAGAGACAACAAUGAAAUUUGUGCCGGGGUUUUCUUCAAUUGUUCCACAACAGAGUAAUCCGGAACCUUUAUCUUUUUUAGAAACUCUUCUGCUUCUUCUUCAGUAACUGCUUUCUUCAGUGGUACUUGGAUGUUUUGAGUCAUCUUCCCUUUUCUUAAUUCUUCUUGAGAAUAACAUCUUCCAGAGCGUGUCAGCCCUCCUACUUCAUCAACCUCUUCAACAAUCUCCUUUCCUCGGUAAACCACAGUGAUUUUGUUAUAGUUCCAAGGGACAGCCUUCAAAUCAGUUACCGGAAGCUGUUGGACAAGCUUAACAAAGAUAGGUCCUUUCAACUUUGCCAAGCAAAAUUGGUCCUGUUGUGUUAAUGAAAAACCUUUUGAUACAUACAACUUCGGCAUACCUGCUCGAACUUCAAUCCCCUUCGAAACCCCCGGGACACACAAAACUUUGGUAUCAAGGUUGACACCUUCCACACUCAAAGAUGCAACUGGUUCUAAACUCUUUAUCGGCUUAUUUUCCUCUCCGAUCUUCCUAAACAACUUUCCCAUUUUGCCAAGGAGUUUAUACUCUUGAUCAUCGCAGAUCAUACCCACUAAAUUGUUUUGAGCUGGAAGUGGGUUAUUAGUCACAUUGGGAGUGUUUUGAUCAUCUGUCACAACGACCACUCCAUGAUCGAUUAGCUUCUUUAUCGCCCCCUUCAAGGUCCAACAAUUAUCAGUGAUGUGUCUUGGGGCCCCUGAAUGAUACUCAUAUCUUUCAUUGGCUUGGAAACCUAGAGCAGUUGGAUUCAGACGAUGUGGUGGGAUAGACCCAAUCACUCCUAUCUUUCUUAACUUUUGAAACAAGCUGGAGUAUGACUCUCCCAAUGGAGUAAAUUUUCUUUUCUGUCCUUGAUCUUGAGCAUAAUUUUGCAUAGGAGGAGGGUUGUAAGGGACCUGAUAGGGUGGUCGUUGUGGGCGAAGGUUUCCUUGAGUUGGGGCCCGAAAAUGUGGGCGAUUGGGAGAAAGCACAUAUGACUGAGCAUUGAAAACCGUGUAUGGAGAUGGAGAUACUGGAUAUUGAGGGACAUAAGGGUAGUAAUGUUGAGGAUAGCUAGAUUGUCCCUGAAGUGGUGGGUAAGGACAAUUAUAAUUCCUUUGAGCACCUAUUGACCCUGAUACUAGCGAAGAAACUUCCUCUUUUCUUUUGCGAUUUCCAAAACUUCCUGAACCACCUUGAAUGGCCUGUGUGGUAGCUUUGAUUGCUGCCUGGCUCACAAUCCUUCCUGUUUUGAGACCACUUUCGACCAUUUCUCCGAUUUUGAUUGUUGUGUGAAAUGGUCUUCCCAUUGCGACUGUCAGGUGGUGGAAGUAGUCAGGAUCUUGAGCCUCUAUAAAGAUAUCAACCAAUUCUUGCUCAUCUAAUGGUGGCUUGACCCGGGCUGCUUGUUCCCUCCAUUUGAUAGCAUACUCUCUGAAGCUUUCAUUUGACUUCUUUCUCAUAUUAGAAAGUGUAUUGCGAUCUGGCAUAAUGUCGACAUUGUACUGAAAUUGUCUAACAAAAUCUUGAGCCAUAUCAUCCCAGAUGUGCCAGUGGGAGAUCUCUUGGUCUAUAAACCAUUCUGAGGCAACACCAGUUAGGCUCUCACCAAAAUAAGCCAUGAGCAGUUCCUCUUUACCCCUGCACCUCUAAGUUGAUUGCAAUAUCUCUUGAGGUGAGCUAUGGGAUCACCGUGCCCGUCAUACUUAUCAAACUUAGGGGUUUUGAAUCCAGGUGGCAGGUGGACAUUUGGGAACAUACACAAGUCCUUGAACGCGACACUUUUGUGCCUUCCUAGCCCUUGCAUACUUUUCAUAUGUUGCUCGAUGCUUUUCAUUUUCUUCAACAUUUCCUCUUUCUCUGAGACUUGAGGGGGCCUCUCAACAUCAAUAGGGGAGCCGAAUUGUACAGAGUUAGGGCCCCCGAAUGCUAUCCUAGGAGUAUAGUAUUGCUCUGGAUGGACGGUGAACUAUCCCUCUUGAGCUGCUCUCUGCGUCACAGUUGGUUGUGGGAGAGUAUAGACCGGUGCAGCUGUCGCGACAGUGGGAUUAUUCCUGAAUGGCAUGCCUUGAGGGCGUGUUGUUGAUGGUCCGACCCCACAAUUAUCAAAUGGACCAUACCCCCGGAGGAAAGAAAGGAUCUGAUAUCGGGACCUGAGAAGACGAAGAUCGGAUACUAGUGAUCUCAGGAAAACCGGGAAUAGACGUUGGUGGUUCUUGGCCAUUGGCCCAGGCUUGACACAACUGUGCCAUAACAUGCCUCAAUGUCCGAUUUUCUUCAACAGUGGCUGACUCUCUUGUCGUUGAAUCAACUGGAGUAUCCACUGGGUUUACCGCAGUUUCAGUAUUGCUUGUCAUUGACGUUCUUACCUUAGACCUGGUAAAGUACGGGUGUUCUGCCAGUUUACCACAAACCAACCAUCGAAAGCUUACUAAACUAAAGAGAAAUGAACAAACUUGUUAGGGGUUAGACAAUUUUACACAUCAAUCACACAUUUGUUAAUCACAUAGUAACAAGAGUUCAGAAGGCCAUUGUCUCAUCCCAGCUUUGCUUUGUUUUUUUUUUUUUUUAAAGUUUUGAUCGAACCCUUUGGAGGUUGCCUACGUAUCAUGUCGCCGCAUGAAUCAGAUCAUUACGUAGUUCAGAAAUUUAGACCACUCAACAACAUUAAUUUAGAUAAGCAAAGUCCAACCAUUUCAUUCAUUUCCAAAAAAAAACUUUAAGCAAAACGACAAGAUCAAUGGGUUUAAACACAACCAUGAUCAACAUGAUCUUUUUGAACACCGAACUUUAAACUGAAACACUGAGUCUUAAAUAAAAACAAGAUAAAACAAACAAACAAACAACCUAAACAACUAAACUCUUCUUCAAUCUUCAUCAUCUUCCUUGGGCUUUCUUUGUCCUCCUAAGGUCACAUACAGAUUCAACAACACCUUCGGCAGAUGGGGAACAAUGGCUCGUGCUUGCUCAGCCACUUCUGGAUAAUUCAUGCGACGAUGAUUCUUAAUAACAUGGGAGGUUUGUUCCGCCAGCUGAUGAACUUGACGCCUAGCCUUUUCCCAUAUUUUCAUAACAGUUAUUCAACCAAACCUGAUGAUCACCAAGAUUGUUCCUUAAGAGGGCCUCUCGCUCCUCGGCUGCUUCAAGUUGAUGGCGAAGUGUUGCUCUCUCAAUGAUCAUUUUGUCUUUGCCCCUCUUCGAUAUCAACACACUGACUGAUUUUUCUUUAUGUUCUUCUAACUCUGCUUUAAGCUGAUCAUGUAAAUGCAUCCAACAUGACCUUUCUUUCUCAAAUUUCUCCUUCCGCCGCUUAAGUUCUCCCCUUUGGUAGUUCACGACCUCUUCAGAUGCCACUAAAUCCCUCUUCAAUCGAGAAAUUUCAAAACUCUGCUCCUUUUUUAUUUGUCGGGCCAAGUGAAUUCUACUAUCCAACUCUUCCUCUAUCUUUUUUUUAUCUGUCGGGCCAAAUGAAUUCCACUAUCCAACUCCUCCUCUAUCGAGCUAAUUUCCCCUCUGUAUUCUUCAAUUCCCCCUCCACAUCUUGUAACUCCAACUGGUGAUUUCUUCAUAUAUGGACUUGAACUUCUUGUCGGGCUAUGGUGGCUUUGGCAUUCUCCAACUCUUUUUCCAACUGUCAUAUGGUGUGCUUGUCUUUUCUUUUUCUGCUGGAUCCUUCGGGAAUGUCACCAAAUGUUGUUGGAUCACGAAACCACAAUAAGUACCCAGGCACCACUUUUCCUUUAUCUUACUCCACAACCAUUUCACUUAGCUCCGAAAUUAUACUCCCAAACCAGAUCUUCAGAAUAUCAGCGCUAUCAAAAGGCAAAACCUGGCGGGGUGUCAAAUACAAAUCUACUCAUAUCAUCAUUUGGUGGGAUUUCUUGUACUCUAGCCAGCUGACGCAUAACCCGAAGUGGGGCAUAGGGUUGAACACCUCUAAACCCAAUCAACACAAGAAACGAGAUACCACUAGACAUGCAUAUGACAUCCUUAGCUGGGAACAAGUAAUAAUUCCACACUAUUUCAUCAGACGUGAUCACCGAAAGUUUCUCUUCACACGCUGUAAUUCCUUUUGGGAAAUCGAUUUUUGUUUCUCUUUCCUUAUGGGAAGAAACAUAAUUACACCAGUCUGGAGUGAACCUGGGUGCACGGUCAUGGUGAUAAAGAUGUUCCAAAAACCAUAUCUGCAACAAGAUGUUGCAGCUUUCAAAGUACAUUUCCCCAUUUAUGCAUUUAGUCAAUGCACGAAAUAUAUCUGCCAGGAUCAUAGGAAUAAUAGUAGGACUCUCCAUUGUGGUCAACGCCUUCACCACCCCAGCCAGACGAAUAUCGAUAUGCUUAUCCCGUUUGGGGAAAACAAUGAGCCCCAAAAACGCGACCAUGAAGGCAAAACAUCCAUUCGCCUUCCAAGCCUCUUCACCCCCUUGGUUGCUAAGUUGGUUUCGAUAGUUUUCAAAUUCAUCCUUUUGGCCAUACCUCUCAUAUAGAAAGUCCAAUGAAACCCACCCAUUUUUCAAUCUCUCCUUCUCUACUUGAUUGAUCUUGAGAAGUUCCAAGAACUUUUUGGCAUCAACGUUCUUUGGAAUUACAGGUUUUUUGUUGCGGAGAUCAGCACCCCGAACACUGGACCCCUUCCCCAUGAAGCUGGCGAUUUCUUCCAGAGUUGGUGUCAUCUCGAAGUUAGAAAAUUGAAAUACAUUAUUUUUUGAAUCCCAGAAAGGAAUCAAUGCCUCGAUCACAUCCCUUCUAGGGUCAAUCUCCAUUAGAUGCACUAGAUGUCCCAGAUGUUAUUUUACUCUCCUUUGCUCAUGACUCUCCAUGUCUGUCCACUAUCGCCAUAAAUUCUUAGGUAUUGUGUCAACGAUCAUGAACUCUGGAAUUUCUUCACUUCUAGGCCUUUUGGAACCCUGUCCUUUGGUCGGAGGUGCCAUUUGUACCUUUGAAUAGAGUCCAAAUUAAUGUUUUAUGACAAACUCUAACCGAGGGAGGGAAGAAGAGUAAACAAAAAAUUAUUUUAAAAAAAAAACAAAAUACCUCUUUUUACAAACACCAAACCCGAGAAGGGAUGCCUACGUAUCUCAUUUUAGUGAGAAUCAGGUGUGCGUAGUCAUAAAAAAAAACUCACACUUGAAAGACUAUCCAUUUUAUUUCAACCUCUUUUAUUAUUAUUAUUUUUUAAAAAAUAAAAAAUUGAAAGACAAAGCUAUCAUAAAGCUGGUUGACAAUAUAAAGGCCUUCUGAACAAAUUAUUUUCACGUAACACAUAAAAUGAACAUGUUGGUCUAGAGUGGGCACAUAUCUUAGAUUUUCUAGGUCAAAUGCAAAUGAUACAAAUAAACGUAGCCUACCAGAGAUAGUUUUUGCUAGGUUUAGUACUUUAUUUGGAAGGUGUCUAGACUGGCUUACUCGAGUGGACAACUCGAGCUGGGGAGGGUCAGCGUACCAGUAGCAGAGCUAUUCCGGCUUAACUGGUGGUCCAACCCCGCCUAACAUGUGUGACAAACCUAGAACCAGGAGCGUAACCGCACACUGGCUCAUCCUAGACAGAAGUCCCGUGGAGCGUAUCCGCACACACAGUGUAUAAAAAAAAUCUAAAGAUUCAGAGAGUGUGCAAGAGGAGGCAAUUUAUAUACAAUUACACAAUAUUAAAACAAUGAAUCAUUGAAAUAGCGCAAUUAGUCAAAAAAAGGUUAUCCAAAUAUUCAAAAUAGCCAAAUAUAGUAAUUUACAAAGUUCAAAUUCUAAAGAAAGUCCCCAGCAGAGUCGUCAGAUCUAUCACACCACUUCUCUUUUUACAAUAGUUAUGGAUACGACGUUUUUAUUUUAAAAUAAAAAAAAUAAAAAAUAGAAUAAAAAUAAAAUAUAAAACUAAACAAAAAAUGAUUAUUAUUUUUUAAAAAAUAAAAUAAGUCGUCACUUGAAAAUGAGAUUUUUAGGUGUUCCAAGUCACCUAGUAAUUCCUAAUUUUAAAAAAAGAGAAAAAAAAAUCUUUUUAUUUUUAGUCUAACUAAAACAGAGAUUAGGUAAGGAAUUCUAUUGACCGGAGGGAAGGUGUGAGGCACCCCUCGAGUCCCGUGGUUCUAGCACGGUCGCUUUAUCAACUAGUGUUUGGCUAAAAUAAUUUUUGGAUAGAAGAAUAAAUUUGUGUUAGUUACUAAUCUUUUUUUUUUAAUAAAAAAUGAUUGACCUAGGAGCGUAACCGCACACAAGAUCACCUUUUUUAGAAAGAAUACACACUAAGGAUCGUAACCGAACACAGGGUGGUAUUUAAAGUUUAGUUUAUUUUUUCUAAAAAAAGAUUGAUAAUUAAUGACUCAAAUUUUAUUUAAUAAUGAGCAAAGAAAAAAAAUUGAAAAAAAAAAGAACUUGUUGCAACAUAUAGACUUGAACAAAGAUUAUUUUUUUAAAAAAUAAAUAAACAAAUAAAUAAAUAUAUUAAGUGUCCCUACUUGAUGAUAACAACAAAAGAAAAAAAAAGUAUACAUUCUUUUUUUUAAAAAUAAAAUAAAAUAAUGACUAGGUCCCUUUUAAAACAACUAAUGAUAUACUAAAAAAUUUAUAUUGAUAUAAUUUCAGGAAAAAAAAACGACCACUUUGAUAAAAUUUUCAGUAUUUCAUAAAAUGGUCAUAUGUUUUCUUUUGAAAGAAAAUUGCAAAAAUAGCCUAUUUUAUCUAAUAAUUAAAUCACUAACCAAAGUAGCCGAUUUUGUAUUUCGUUUCAAUAACCAUUUUAUAUAUUUAUUUAAGAGAAACUGAAUUUAUGAAAUGGUCAAAUUUACAUUAUUUUUGCAAAAAUGACCAGAUUUACAUUUUUCAGCAAAAAUGGCUAGAUUUACACUUUUUGCAAAAAUGUCCAGAUUUAGUUUUGCAAAAAACCAGCCACUUUUUUUUUCUUUUCUUAGAAUGAUCAGAAACUAAAAAUUAAAAAAAAGACUUUGAGAUUGUUGUUAUUUUUUUAGCAAAAAGGCAUGGUUUAUGUAUUAACUUCAUAAUGAUAAAUAUAAAAUUCACUCAUAGUUUAAUAAUAGAACACAAAUAUGUAAUAACAACAAGAUAUAAUUUAACUAAUUCCAAUAGAGUUAUAUAUUGUUUCAUAAUGAUAAGAUAGAAUUAACACUUAGUUUAAGUAAUAAAAACACAAAUAUACAAUAACAAUGAAACAUAAUCAUAUUAAGUAUCAUAACAUAUUUAACUAAUUCAAAUAAACUAAACAUAAUAAUUAAAAUCAAAAAUAUAAACAUGCUUCAUUAUUUCUGAAGUUACAUUGCAAAGUGUAAGGAAAGAAAUAUACCUAAAGAGAUGAUGACAAAACAAUGAUGAAAGCAAAAACUCAAUUCCACUCCCAAAAGACCACCAAAGAUGAAAUAUAUAUGUAUUUUUCUUUUUAAAGUAAUGAUUUUCCUUUUCCAAUUUUCUGUUCUUGUUCUUUCUCCUUUCUGUUCUUGUUCUUUCUCCUUUCUUUUUCUUUUUCCCCUCCUUAAUCAAAUAAGAGUGGGGGUUUAAAUAGGUGUUGAGCAUUAAACCCCCCACUCUUCUUGAAAACUUAAGAGCCAAUGCAUGCAUUGGACUCUUUGUUUUCCCAAGGUGCCACCCAAGAUGACCAAUGGAAUUUUUUUUUUUUUUUCAAGAUAAAAUUAAUUAAAAAGACUAUAUUGCCCUUUAGAUGACCCAUUUCUUUUAUUCAUUAAUUGAAUAAUAGCUAAAUGGGUCAUCUGAAAAUUUAGAAUAGGCCCAAUAUGUUAUUUUAGAUGACCUAUUUCUUUUAUUCAUUAAUUGAAUAAUAGCUAAAUGGGUCAUCUGAAAAUUUAGAAUAGGCCCAAUAUGUUAUUUUAGAUGACCUAUUUCUUUUAUUCAUUAAUUGAAUAAUAGCUAAAUGGGCCAUCUGAAAAUUUUAAAAUAGGCCCAAAAUUGAUCAAGACCCAAAAAUCAAAACAAAAU